UGGCAUGUUCGGUUGCAAAGCAGCAGAAUCGCUUAUUGAGAGUAAUCAUAAAUUACAAGUAAGGAUUGGUGAAAUGGUGGAUAAAGGGAGAUAUCAAAGAUUUAUCGGACAUUGAUUUAUCUCGCUCAUACUCGACCUGAUAUAGUUUAUGCCGUUAGUUUGGUAAGCCAGUUUAUACAUGACCCUCGCGAAGCUCAUAUGCUGGCAGUAUUGCGAAUUUUGUGCUAUUUGAAGUCUACAUCAGGCAAAGAUAUUCUCUUCUCCAAAAAUAGUCAUGUAUAGAAGUAUUUACAGAUGCAGAUUGGACUAGCUCUCUUGGUGGCAGACGAUCUAUAACAGGUUAUUGUACUCUUGUGGGAGGAAACUUAGUCACUUGAAGGAGUAAGAAACAAAGUGUUGUGGCUCGACCAAGUGCAGAGACUGAAUAUAAGGCCAUGACUCAAAGUAUUUGUGAGCUUUUAUGGCUGUAAAAGGUAUUGGAAGAGCUAAGUAUUGGAAGAGCUAAAGUUGUUAAAUAAAAAUGGAUCAACCUUGUAAUGUGACAACAAUGCGGCCAUCAGCAUAGCUCAAAAUCCAGUGCAGCACGAUAGAACCAAGCACAUCGAAAUAGAUCGUUAUUUUAUCAAGAAAAAAGUAAGCAGUGGUGCCUUAAGUCUAUCUUAUCUAGCAUUUGAAAAACAGUUGGCUGAUGUUUUUACUAAAAGACUCAAAUUUAAGACUUGUCAUAAUCUUCUGUGCAAGCUGGGCAUGUGAGACAUCUAUGUGUCACGGGCCAAAGUGCAAAGCCCGUGACCAUGCCGCAAGAAGCGCCCCAUGGAGGUCUAUCGAUUAGAUGGGGGACAUUCAGCCCACAAGAACUGGCCCGAUUCAAAGAGCUACUAAAGAAGCCUAUCAGAUUGAAGCCUGGUUGGCCCAAUAAUGAAGACAUGGCAACUUAGGCAAUUUUGGUAACUAAUCUUAGAAGAUAGAAUAGAAUCAUAUCUUGUAAGAUUAGAUUAGAUUAGAUUUGAUAUGGUAAAUCUUGUAAAUCCCUAAAAUCAAGGGAUAUAGUGAAUCUCAUCCGUCGAUGUACAUGUAUCUUGACCAUCGGUUUUGGGGAGCUCAACUAUAAAUAGAGAGCCUCCUCCUCAUUUGUAAAUCAUCCAUUGUAACUUGAAUUCUUAAGAGUAAUAGAAUUCUUGAGUAUUUACUCAAACACUUUGUGUGCUUUCUUUCUUUAGCUUUCUGUUGUUCUCUUGUGGCUUCUUUUGGCACAAUCGCUUCCGCUAUAUAAAUUGGUGCCUUGGAGGAGUUCUAAAAGAAUCCUCUCUUUUGGGAGUUAAGGCUGACUUGGGCGAGUUUGGACGAACGGAUCGCCUAAGGCCGCACGGAUUGCGAGACGAAAGGUCUAGCCCCGUGACAAGUGGUAUCCGAGCCAAGUUUUGAACCAAGUUAUUCGAGUGUUUCGAAGGCACUGUUGGGAUUUCGAAAGAAGUCGUUGGUCAGAGUGAGCCAAUGGAGUCCCGUGGGAGGGCUAGAAAAGCCAGUCGCUCGAGGGAAAUGCUGACAGCUUUGGAGAAUCGAGUGGUCAAUCUUGAGGAAUCCGUAGGGAACGUGAAAGAGACGCUUGAAUUGGUCGAGGGACGCACAGAUGGGUUAGACUCAAUGGAGGAGCAACUCAGAGAUUUUGUGUUGGAUUCUCUCGGUGCAAAUAGGGAAAAGAUAACGGAAUUACUCGAGUCCACUGAGGUAAAGCUGGCAGAGAGGGAUGAAGCUCUCGAGGAUAUGGUGCUAGCCAUGCAGAAAGAAAUGGAGGAGCUCAAAGGGGAGCUCGCGAUUUACAAAGCCGCUUUGAGUAAUGGGAUGUUGUCUUCAAGGCCGAAGCAACAUGCAAUGGAUGUUCCCAAACCGGAGAAGUUUAAGGGUGCACGAUCCGCGAGGGAUGUGGAUAACUUCUUGUGGGAAAUGGAGCAAUACUUCCGAGUGAUGGGCAUCGAGGAUGAUGGCAUUAAGGUAAACACUGCUUCGAUUUACUUUUCUGAUGUUGCUCUCUUGUGGUGGCGACGUAGGUCCACGGAUGAGAAACGUGGAGGAACGGCUAUUGGAACUUGGGAGGAGUUUAAAGGAGAAUUGAAGAAGCAGUUUUACCCUCAAUAUGCCGAGAAGGAGGCUCGGGCUAAAUUGCGUCGUCUCACGCAACAAGACACUGUUCGGGAGUAUGUGCGGGCAUUUAGCGAGUUGAUGCUUCAAAUCUCCGACUUGAGCGAGAAAGAAGCAUUCUAUUGGUUCGAGGAUGGGUUAAAGCCGUGGGCAAAGCAGGAGUUGCGAAGGCAAGGAAUCACCGAACUUACUGUAGCCAUGGCCGAAGCAGAGUCCUUUGUUGAGCUUGAUCCGGCGGGAGACAAGCUUGAGGCAUCUAAGCCUAAUGGAAGGGGCAAUGGUGAGAGAAACCAUGAAGAAGAUGAAAGGGGACAUAGCGAUGGGGGCAAUAGUACUGAUAGCACAAGUGGCAAUGGGAAAUCACGAGAUGCGAAGCGGGGAUUAGACAACCCAAGGGACAAGAGGAAGAAGAUGAAAUGCUUCCUUUGUCAAGGACCACACAUGGCGCGUAAAUGUCCAAAUAAAGUGAUGAUUUCGGCAAAGAAUGAUGAGCCGAAGGAGGAGGCGAAGCCUACCGAGGGAAACACAUCAAAAGUCAAUUCGAUGGUGCUCAUUCCUGGGAAGAGGAAUGGAAAUGGGUUGAUGUUUGUGGACGUCAACAUUGCGGGUCAGAAGCGGAGUGCUCUUAUUGAUACGGGAGCAUCGGACUUGUUCAUGUCGGAAAAGGCUGCGAAGAAGCUUGGUCUGUCGAUUAGGAAAUCGAAUAAGAAGAUCAAGGUAGCAACUUCUGAGAAAGCCCCAACUGUGGGAGUAGUUCGUGAUGUGGAACUACAAAUCGGCGAAUGGAAGAGCAAGGAAGAAUUCGAGGUAAUCCAAUUAGAUGAUUACGAUUUUGUGCUUGGCUUAAACUUCCUUGUCAGGAUUCAGGCAACUCUGCAACUAGGGGCCGAUCAAAUCCAUAUUGCCACCGGUCCAUCAAUAAAGAGUAUUGUGCCGGUGCAUCGGGAUGUGAAAGUUGGGACUAAGGUGUUAUCGUCAAUCCAACAAGUCGAAGAUGUUUCGUAUGGGAGAAACAUUAAAUCGGCAAAACGGAAUGCUACGAAAGCCUCUUCGGAAGUGUUAGUGGCGCAAGGGACCGAUAUGAAGCCUGCGGGAUCGACUGUGGAGCUGACACCUUUGGGAAAGGUGGGUUGUGCAUCGGGCUUCAAGGGAAAAGGAGCGAUGCAAGGACAGUCGAGACGAGUAAAUGCUACGAGUAAGGUACAUUGCAAACACUCUGAUAGUGUUUUGAAUUCUGACUUGUUGGCUUGGCAAGGUCGUAUUUUAAAGUUCAUAAGCGAGGAGGCCAAGGAACUGUGGGCGGUACGAAGCCGAGGUAUGAGAAUCGAGGGGAUUCCAACAGAAACAAGUCAAAAUUGGGGCAAGUUAAAGUGGAGACUACUUGCCAACAUAAUGUACCAACGAGUGGAACGGUUCAAGAUAAGAGGCGACGGAAGUCGAGGCAUAAGUUCCGAAGGAAGGGACAACCUGAUCGCAAGACGAGUUAGGAAGAAGCCGAGGCAACGAAAGAGUUUCACAGUGAAUCAAGUCAGUGUCAUCCAAGAAACGCAACGAGGGCGUUGCGAGAUUGGGUGGGGGAGAAUGUCACGGGCCAAAGUGCAAAGCCCGUGACCAUGCCGCAAGAAGCGCCCCAUGGAGGUCUAUCGAUUAGAUGGGGGACAUUCAGCCCACAAGAACUGGCCCGAUUCAAAGAGCUACUAAAGAAGCCUAUCAGAUUGAAGCCUGGUUGGCCCAAUAAUGAAGACAUGGCAACUUAGGCAAUUUUGGUAACUAAUCUUAGAAGAUAGAAUAGAAUCAUAUCUUGUAAGAUUAGAUUAGAUUUGAUAUGGUAAAUCUUGUAAAUCCUUAAAAUCAAGGGAUAUAGUGAAUCUCAUUCGUCGAUGUACAUGUAUCUUGACCGUCGGUUUUGGGGGAGCUCAACUAUAAAUAGAGAGCCUCCCCCUCAUUUGUAAAUCAUCCAUUGUAACUUGAAUUCUUAAGAGUAAUAUAAUUCUUGAGUAUUUACUCAAACACUUUGUGUGCUUUCUUUCUUUAGCUUUCUGUUGUUCUCUUGUGGCUUCUUUUGGCACAAUCGCUUCCGCUAUAUAAAUUGGUGCCUUAGAGGAGUUCUAAAAGAAUCCUCUCUUUUGGGAGUUAAGGCUGACUUGGGCGAGUUUGGACGAACGGAUCGCCUAAGGCCGCACGGAUUGCGAGACGAAAGGUCUAGCCCCGUGACAUAUGCACCAACUUGAGAGGAAGUGUUGAUAAUCUUUGAUUAUUUGAUAGCAUUGAAUAACAUAUCUUUACAUAUUACAACAGAUUUUUAGAGAUAUUAAUUAGAAAUCUUCUUUCUUUAAUUAAUUCAAUGCUUCAUGAAUAUAUAGUUGUAAAUAUUUUUAAGAAAUACAUACUUUUGAAAGAGUGUUUCCUUAAUACAUUAAAGUAUUUAUCUCUAAUUUCAUCAUAAAGCUCAUAUCUUAAAUUAAAAGGAAACAAAUUAAGUCAGUUGUGUUCUAAUGCCUCAGAAAAAUUCUCUAUUGAUAUGGGAGAGAGAUUUCAAAGUCAGAGAUCACAUGAUUAGUUCUGUAACACCUUGAAUUUUGGGGUUAGAAGUUUUGAGCUUUGUGGUUAGGGUCAGUGAGUAGGUUGUACUAUUGUAUUUAGUUGCGCAUUUAAGUGAUAGAAUGAGUCUGCUGGUCUGGUGGUUGGUAGUGUACUUGUGUGCCUUUGGGUCCCGGGUUCAAGUCUUCAGAGUGUUUUGAGGGACUAUUUUCGUUUUAUUUUAAAGGUUUAGAUAAUUGUUUUCUUUACUUAGUGUUUAUUUUAUUAUUUUUAUUAUUUCUCUUUUCUUUCUUUCUGGACUUUCUCCUCUUCCCCUUUUUUUUGUUCUUUCUUUUUUUAAAACGGUUGUGUUGUGGUUUCCAGAGAGCUUUGGUUUCUUGGUCAUCGAGUCGGAUUCUGAACGUCCCUGAUCGCGAAUCAGAUGUGGGUUCAAACUCUUCAAUUUCAAUUUGUUUUCUCGAUUGGGUGGAACUUGACAUGUUCUAAGUGUUUUGGUUAAUGUGUGGUAGGUUUCGCUCCUAAAUUUUGUAAAACUUAGUUUUCUAUGGCAUAUUUCUGAUGUAUAAGAGUUUAGGGGCGUUUGGUGUAUAAAUUCACGGUUUGCAGAAUGUUUCGAGUUGGUUUCAGGACCAUAUGGGCGACCACAUGGGCGUGUGUUAAUUCACAUGGCCGUGUGGAAUUGAAGAUUAGAGUUUUUGGACGAAAAUUCAUGCUAUACAGCUGUGUGGUUGAUUUGGGGAAAUUACUCAAUUUCACACGGCCGUGUCUCAUGGGUAAACGGGCGUGUGUGUUUGGAAAUUAUGGUUUUAGUGAUUUGGUGUCACACAGUCGUGUGGCUAAUUUGGGGAUUUAGGAAUCCCAUACGAGCGUGUGUUUUGGACACACGGUCGUGUUUGGUGGGCACACGGGCGUGUGAGACCCUCACACAGCCGUGUUUGCCCUGUACUCUAUUUUAGCACAAAUGGACAAAGAGUUACACGACCUGUUCACACGGCCAUGUCCCUAGCUCAUAAGGGCGUAUGCCUCAACCACACGGCCGUGUGCCUCCUCCUAUACGGGCGUGUUGACCCUCACACAGCCUAGGCUUUUCCACACGGCCAGAGCACACAGUCGUACGACCCUAAGUCACCAAUUUUAGUUCUGUGUAUGUUUUUUAUCUGAAAAUGUGUCUGCGUUUCAAUAUUUGACUAGGGUUUAGUGAGGGUAGUUAAGACUUUGAUCUGAGCUUCGGCUUAUGUGUUAUUUGUGACUGUUGUGUGAGAUAUCUAAUUCUGAACUUGGUUAGUUGGGUAUGUGCAUGUCUAUCUCUAUCUGACUGUCUGCCGAUGUGUUCAUUGUUUCUGUGAGGUUGUAAGCAUACAUGCACUUGCAUAAAGUAAUUUUUGAGUUGGUUGUGAAGAAAAGGAAGACUGAUUCUGAUGUGAUCUGGCAGUUUAACUGCAACUUAUCGGUAUAGCGAUUUACUGCACUGUACCGCAUUUAUGUCAGCUUUGCUGCAUACUAUUAUCUGAUCUGACAGUUUAAACUGCAACAUGUCUAUAUAGCGGUUUACCGCAAUGCACUGUACUGCAUAUACACCAGCUUUGCUGCGUAUUAUUAUCUGAGCGGCUUAGUCCACAUACAUGGUGUGUAGGGUUUGAUGGGUCCUUCGAGGUCCUUUAUGGUGUGUUUGGUUGGUGAGCUUAAACAGCUCUUUUGAGUGUGAUCAGGGGAUAGAGAGGUGUGUUGUCUAAAUGGGCGGGUUUUUACUACUUGACUGCAUUCAUACGCAUCUGAUUGAGUGACUGGGUGUAAGUCUGUUUGUCUGUUUUCUAUCUCCUUGUCUUAACGUUCGUGAUUGUUCUAAUUGCGGGUAUUAAGGUGUAAGCGUAAUUCCGACUUUCUUACCAUUGUGUUUGUGAUGAUAGUGUUUUGGUAUCAACCAGUUGAUGGGUUUUCCUAUUGUGAUUCUGCGUAUAGUACCGAGUGUGUUGAUUGUUGCGUAUGGUCAGGACGUAGGUUCCGAUUUUACCCUCUAUUUCUAUGCAUCUCUGUAAAUACACUAUGCCAUUGAACUACUAUUUGGAUUUCUGUUCUAUAAAAUUUUGUUGUUUGUCACUGAGCUAAUGUAGCUAACCCCCUUAGUGUUUUCC
rnacentral:lncRNA from 1 species